UUCGGAUAUGGAGUGGAGAUUACUUCAGAUUUGGAUAGAGUAUCAUCAGAAAAUCAACUAAAAACUCAUGUUUCAUGCCAUGAAAACAACCACCAAGUGAUGUUUUUGUUGUCGACUGUGUGAUGAUUGAUUAUGAUUUUAGUCAUUUGUGUCGGCUUACAAUUGAUGGGUAGUUAUUGGAUUCGAAUUUUCAGGUAAGAAGAGGCUAUAAAUUGAGGCGCAAACACCAACAGUUGGCACCUCUUCAUCACCAGGAACACGCCCGGAAGUCCACCAACUAUGGUGAUUCAGCAGUCCACCAACUAUGGCGAUUCACCGGAACAUAAAACGAUGAGCUCACACUCGCUGCAAACAACCCCACAAAAUCAAUUACUCAUAACAGUGAGAUUGUUUUUUUUUUCGUAGAUUGGGGAUGCUCUUAAAGUGAAUGAGAAGUGAUAUUGUUGUGGAUAAUGAGAUGAAUAGAAAUAAUUAAGAGUUUGUGUAGGUUUAUAAUCCUUGGGUAGUUUUCAGAUUCCAGUUUGCAGGUAAGAAGAAGCUAUAAAUUGAGGUGCAAACACCAACAGUUACACCUCUUCAUCACCAGAAACUAGCUCGGAAGAUAGUCGGCAAAAUUCCCAAACCAGUUCUCUCUGUUUACUAACUUCUACUCCAACCUUUUGCAGCGUGUAGUACCAGUAACUCUUAGCAAGUAACAAGACUUGAACCUGUUUGCAUCAGAAGCUUGGUGAUUGAAAGGUUUAGUGGUGCAAUAUGUUAGGAUUUUAUUAAAAAAAAUUAUGGAAGAAAGAUGCAUAUUUACUGUGA